GACGAACGCUGGCGGCAUGCCUAAUACAUGCAAGUCGAGCGAACAGAUGAAGUGCUUGCACCUCUGACGUUAGCGGCGAACGGGUGAGUAACACGUAAGGAAUCUACCUAUAAGCGGGGGAUAACAUUCGGAAACGGGUGCUAAUACCGCAUAAUAUCUUCUUCCGCAUGGAAGAAGAUUGAAAGACGGCUCUGCUGUCACUUAUAGAUGACCUUGCGGUGCAUUAGUUAGUUGGUGGGGUAACGGCCUACCAAGACGAUGAUGCAUAGCCGACCUGAGAGGGUGAUCGGCAACAUUGGGACUGAGACACGGCCCAAACUCCUACGGGAGGCAGCAGUAGGGAAUCUUCCGCAAUGGGCGAAAGCCUGACGGAGCAAUGCCGCGUGAGUGAAGAAGGCCUUCGGGUCGUAAAACUCUGUUAUAAGAGAAGAACAAAUUGUAGAGUAACUGCUACAGUCUUGACGGUAUCUUAUCAGAAAGCCACGGCUAACUACGUGCCAGCAGCCGCCGUAA
rnacentral:rRNA from 1 species